CUCAAAUCUUACUCUCAAAUCUCUCCAAAAUCACUCUCAAAGCUCUUGCAAAUCAGAAAUUCGGACAGAUUCAUACCUCCUACAAAAGAUAACUUGGUGUUCCCUCCAUCAAAUCAACUCUUCACGGAUUCAAGUGGGAAAGCUUGCAAAACCGUUGAUGAUGAUGAGACCAUGAAAUGAAGUAGGCAUGAUGCCUAGAUACACAUAUAGACGUUUAGGUUUAAAUGUUGUAUCAAUUUUGAUUAUGUUGUUAUGUAUUUCUUCGAACAUGUUGUUAUUUGAGAUUUCUAUGUAAUGUUGACAAUUUGAUUUAUGAAAUGAAAAAGGUUGAUUUAAA